rnacentral:lncRNA from 1 species
GGGUUUGUUUUAAAAACUACUCUGAUAUGGACCAAGCACAAGAGAGAACUUUUGGGUCCAUCCCUGGGUAGAAGGCAGUGAUUAUGGGGGAACAUUGAUGCCAUGAACCUUAUCCUAAUUACAAAAAAAGUUUCCAAGUUCGGAGUUGUAGCAACUGUCUCAGAGCCAGUGCCAGUCCUAUCUUCUCUGUUGAUCCCCCUCCCAUGCUGAAGACCACCAGCAACACACCUGUGUCUGAGCAGAGCUGGGCUCAUUGGCUCCUUUGCAACCAGGACAGCAGCCCGACACAGGAACCCACUCCAUGGGGAAGUGGAGGCUCCUGGCCAAGAGGGGGUGCAGAAAUGGCGGAAUAUGCUCAGGCUUCGGACAGUAAUGAGGCAGCAGGAACACUUGCUUAUGUUUAAGGUUUGGAUAGAAUUCUGGCCAUUGUCUUGGAUGUAGCUGGGCUUGGUGACCAUUUCUGCAACUCUCAUGGCUCCCCCAUCCUCUGUUGGGGUGUCCCUGCAGCCUCUUGCAGCUCCCCUUCUUACCUAAAGCUGGAGAAGCACCCCACUGCCAC